rnacentral:rRNA from 1 species
AUGAACGCUAGCUACAGGCUUAACACAUGCAAGUCGAGGGGCAGCAUUUCAGUUUGCUUGCAAACUGGAGAUGGCGACCGGCGCACGGGUGAGUAACACGUAUCCAACCUGCCGAUAACUCGGGGAUAGCCUUUCGAAAGAAAGAUUAAUACCCGAUGGCAUAAUUAGACCGCAUGGUCUUAUUAUUAAAGAAUUUCGGUUAUCGAUGGGGAUGCGUUCCAUUAGGCAGUUGGUGAGGUAACGGCUCACCAAACCUUCGAUGGAUAGGGGUUCUGAGAGGAAGGUCCCCCACAUUGGAACUGAGACACGGUCCAAACUCCUACGGGAGGCAGCAGUGAGGAAUAUUGGUCAAUGGACGAGAGUCUGAACCAGCCAAGUAGCGUGAAGGAUGACUGCCCUAUGGGUUGUAAACUUCUUUUAUAUGGGAAUAAAGUUUUCCACGUGUGGAAUUUUGUAUGUACCAUAUGAAUAAGGAUCGGCUAACUCCGUGCCAGCAGCCGCGGUAAUACGGAGGAUCCGAGCGUUAUCCGGAUUUAUUGGGUUUAAAGGGAGCGUAGGUGGACAGUUAAGUCAGUUGUGAAAGUUUGCGGCUCAACCGUAAAAUUGCAGUUGAUACUGGCUGUCUUGAGUACAGUAGAGGUGGGCGGAAUUCGUGGUGUAGCGGUGAAAUGCUUAGAUAUCACGAAGAACUCCGAUUGCGAAGGCAGCUCACUGGACUGCAACUGACACUGAUGCUCGAAAGUGUGGGUAUCAAACAGGAUUAGAUACCCUGGUAGUCCACACAGUAAACGAUGAAUACUCGCUGUUUGCGAUAUACAGUAAGCGGCCAAGCGAAAGCAUUAAGUAUUCCACCUGGGGAGUACGCCGGCAACGGUGAAACUCAAAGGAAUUGACGGGGGCCCGCACAAGCGGAGGAACAUGUGGUUUAAUUCGAUGAUACGCGAGGAACCUUACCCGGGCUUAAAUUGCAUUUGAAUAUAUUGGAAACAGUAUAGCCGUAAGGCAAAUGUGAAGGUGCUGCAUGGUUGUCGUCAGCUCGUGCCGUGAGGUGUCGGCUUAAGUGCCAUAACGAGCGCAACCCUUAUCUUUAGUUACUAACAGGUCAUGCUGAGGACUCUAGAGAGACUGCCGUCGUAAGAUGUGAGGAAGGUGGGGAUGACGUCAAAUCAGCACGGCCCUUACGUCCGGGGCUACACACGUGUUACAAUGGGGGGUACAGAAGGCAGCUACCUGGUGACAGGAUGCUAAUCCCAAAAGCCUCUCUCAGUUCGGAUCGAAGUCUGCAACCCGACUUCGUGAAGCUGGAUUCGCUAGUAAUCGCGCAUCAGCCAUGGCGCGGUGAAUACGUUCCCGGGCCUUGUACACACCGCCCGUCAAGCCAUGAAAGCCGGGGGUACCUGAAGUACGUAACCGCAAGGAGCGUCCUAGGGUAAAACUGGUAAUUGGGGCU